rnacentral:rRNA from 1 species
AAAGCGUAACAAGGUCUCCGUUGGUGAACCAGCGGAGGGAUCAUUACUGAGUUUACGCUCUACAACCCUUUGUGAACAUACCUAUAACUGUUGCUUCGGCGGGUAGGGUCUCCGUGACCCUCCCGGCCUCCCGCCCCCGGGCGGGUCGGCGCCCGCCGGAGGAUAACCAAACUCUGAUUUAACGACGUUUCUUCUGAGUGGUACAAGCAAAUAAUCAAAACUUUUAACAACGGAUCUCUUGGUUCUGGCAUCGAUGAAGAACGCAGCGAAAUGCGAUAAGUAAUGUGAAUUGCAGAAUUCAGUGAAUCAUCGAAUCUUUGAACGCACAUUGCGCCCGCCAGCAUUCUGGCGGGCAUGCCUGUUCGAGCGUCAUUUCAACCCUCAAGCUCUGCUUGGUGUUGGGGCCCUACAGCUGAUGUAGGCCCUCAAAGGUAGUGGCGGACCCUCCCGGAGCCUCCUUUGCGUAGUAACUUUACGUCUCGCACUGGGAUCCGGAGGGACUCUUGCCGUAAAACCCCCAAUUUUCCAAAGGUUGACCUCGGAUCAGGUAGGAAUACCCGCUGAACUUAAGCAUAUCAU